AAUGAACGUUGGCGGCGUGCUUAACACAUGCAAGUCGAGCGAGAAAACUCCUUCGGGGGUUAGUAAAGCGGCGGACGGGUGAGGAACGCGUAAGAAUCUUCCCUUCAGUGAAGAAUACCCUUGAGAAAUCGAGGAUAAUACUGCAUAUUCCCUACGGGGCAAAGGUGGCUUUAAUGCUGCCGCUGAAGGAUGAGCUUGCGUACUAUUAGCUAGUUGGUGAGGUAAAGGCUCACCAAGGCGAUGAUGGUUAGCCGGCCUGAGAGGGUGUACGGCCACAUUGGGACUGAGAUACGGCCCAGACUCCUACGGGAGGCAGCAGUAGGGAAUCUUCCGCAAUGGACGAAAGUCUGACGGAGCAACGCCGCGUGAGUGAUGAAGGUUUUCGGAUCGUAAAACUCUGUUGUCAGGGAAGAACAAGUGCUGGAGUAACUGCCGGCGCCUUGACGGUACCUGACCAGAAAGCCACGGCUAACUACGUGCCAGCAGCCGCCGUAA
rnacentral:rRNA from 1 species